CCCUUAGAUGUUCUGGGCCGCACGCGUGCUACACUGAGUGGAUCAGCGGGUCAGGUUGCGCGAAAGCGUUUCCUAAUCUUUAAAUCCGCUCGUGAUGGGGAUUGACGGUUGCAAUUUUCUGUCAUGAACGAGGAAUACCUUGUGAGCGCGGGUCAUCAUCCCGCGCUGAAUACGUCCCUGCCCUUUGUACACACCGCCCGUCGCUCCUACCGAUUGAGUGGUCCGGUGAGGCUUUGGGAUCUGAGCGGAAAGAGCGUUUCGCUGUUUCUGCUCGGAAAACUCAGUCGAACCUUAUCAUUUAGAGGAAGGAGAAGUCGUAACA
rnacentral:rRNA from 1 species